rnacentral:tRNA from 1 species
CAAAACGUAGCUUAAUCAAAGCACCCGGCUUACACCCGGA